rnacentral:rRNA from 1 species
UACGGAGGAUCCAAGCGUUAUCCGGAAUCAUUGGGUUUAAAGGGUCCGUAGGCGGUUUAGUAAGUCAGUGGUGAAAGCCCAUCGCUCAACGGUGGAACGGCCAUUGAUACUGCUGAACUUGAAUUAUUAGGAAGUAACUAGAAUAUGUAGUGUAGCGGUGAAAUGCUUAGAUAUUACAUGGAAUACCAAUUGCGAAGGCAGGUUACUACUAAUGGAUUGACGCUGAUGGACGAAAGCGUGGGGAGCAAACAGG